CAUUCUCUCUAACCCUGCCGAUGCACAGUUCUCACUCUCUCUCUAUAUAACUGCUACUCGAUCACACGAUUAAUCGAAAACUUCUUCUCUCUCUAACUUCUGCUUCCCUUUGUUCUAGAGAGAGAAAGUGCAGAGACGAAAUGGCCAUGGUUUACGAUCGUUCGAAAACUUGCUCCAGAGAGAAAGUGCAGUGGUUGACGAUCAAUCUCGAAAACUCGCGUCCUUCUGGUUCUUAGAGAGAAAAUGAAGAGAUGAAAUGGCUGCCGAUCAAUCGAAAUUGCGUCUGGCUCUCGUUAGGUUAUUGAGUUGCGGAUUUCGAUCACAACGUAUUCUAGAGAGAGAAAGUGAAGAGAAGAAUUGGAACAUGGUGGUGAUCUCAAUGAGGCUGUGUCAAUGCAGAUUUCACCGAAAGAGAUAGAAACAUAUUCAUUAAAUUUCAUAUGGCACAUAAUUAGAAACACUAAUUAUAAGUCUUUUUUUCACCUUUUUACUUUUUGAAACAUUUCUCUAUACUACUGUUCUAGAUAUCGUGAAACGUCUAUUGCUGCUCCACAAGUUGACCCGAACUUACCAGAAGUGUAUUUGAUAGCGGACCAGGGCUCAGAACUGGUGAACCGUUCAUCUCCCAUUCAAGAGAAGCUAGACAGAUUCCCAUUGAGGUCAAGGAUGGGCCCGGCUACAGAAUCAGAACGUUCUGGACAUGCUCCUAGAAUCGAGGAUGUCACUGAGACUGCAAUAGAACAUGUCCCAGAGACCAAGUGCUCCACAAGUUGGUGAUUUACCUGAUUAUGGUAUUGAAGAAGAAAUGAUUCGGGCUGCAAUUGGAGCUUCCAAACAAGAUUCCCAGAAUUGGCACAAACAGUCUCUCUGUCUUUAAACGUUUACUUUUUACCAUUUUCAUAAUGUGAUAAAACACUCCUGCUAAGUUCUCUCCUUCCUACUUAACAAUGAUCUUUUUCAGACUGCUGAGCAAGAGAAAUUAAGCUUUACGCCAACAAUGAUCUAAAGUGGGACCAUCAGAACCAAGGGGGUCUAAGAUGGUUGAGGUGGAAGAAAUGGAGACAGUGACAUCUCAGUACUAAUCGGGUUUGUUCUCGAAUAUUACUUCAUUUUUAGUUUAUAAACUGAUUUCCGUUUAAAACUGUCAAGUUUUCCUGCAUGAGAUACUAAGGCAGCAGCUCACAGUCACAGCCCAACACUAGUUUGGCUUGGCCUAGAAUUGUCCAAACUUAUGUUUGGGUUUAUUUUUGGAAUUAUAGGCAGCUUAGGCCUGGCACAUAUAUCUUUCAGGUUGAGCUACUUUACAAUGCUUUGGAAAAGAUGUUUUGGGCCUGGAUGGAUUUCAACAAUCUCAUCAAACUGUUCAAGCCCAGUUUGUUUUCGAAUAUUAAUUCCUUUUCAAUUUACUAACCGACUUUCAUUCUAGAAUUUCAUGAAUUUUACACGAGACCAGAAGGCUUUAGCUCACAGCCCAGCACUAGGUGGUUAUGUUCUUGAAUCAUACUUCAUUUUAAAUUUGCUAAGGACUUUUCUAUUAAAAUUUCAUUUUUUCCUACACGAGACCCAACACUACAGCUGAUCACGGCACUAGGUGGUUACAAGUUUUUCUACACUAGACCCAAAGGCUGCAACUAGCAGCCCCCGCACUAGGCAGGUUUUUCUAUACAAGACUUGAAGACUGCACCUCACAACUCAGCACUAGUCUGGAGACUCAAAGACGACUGGUCACAGGCUAACACUAUUGAGGAGCAGAUCGAGUUCUUGCUUGUGAUCUUCAUUCUGGGAAAUCGAUGGGCUAUUUUGACAUUUCAGUUGAUCAUGUUCAUGGUCAUGUAAUGGGUAUUAUCUAUUUGAAGCAACGAAACCACAUCUUGUUAUAUUUGUAAUGGAUAGAAGUAUUGGUCAAGCCGCAUUUGACAAAGCUAAAGCAUUUAAGCGGAAUGUUGUUGUUGGAGCUGUUAUUGGUACAAAAAUGGAUGGUCAUGAAAAGGGUGGUGGAAAUUGCCAGACCCUGUAGUUACAAAUCUAUGCUAGUAUAUAAUGUCCAUUAAGACACGAAUCCAUUUUGACCAGUUAUCCAACCCGAAGUUAAAUAUUUUUCUUCUCAUUUUUACUGUGUAGUAUGCACUAAUUGGCCUUUGUCUUAAUUGCCGAGUGUUAUGUGCCUUAUGUCCAAGACUUGAUGCGAAACUACCAUCGAGCCGAGGGUCUCACUGGAAGCAACCUCUCUAUUCCUACAGGGUAGAGCAAUUGGAGGACAGUUGGCCAAAGUCCAAGCUUGAAAGCAGAGGUGUGUUUUAUUUACAAUAUAUCUCAGAUUUUAAUUGUGCUUGGUCAUAUUAUUCAUGUUUAACAUUACCAUUGGAUCUUAUCCUCAUGUCUCAAGGUACCUACUCUUCAUUUCAAAAUAUUAUUUUUUUUCUACACGAGAUCUGAAGACUGCAACUCACAACUCAUCAGUAGUCGCAUAUGUUCUCGAAAAUUACUUCCUAUUCCGUUCACUAACGGACAUCUGUUUUUAAGGUUUAGUUUUUUCUACACGAGACCCCCUGCAACUCGCAGCCCAACACUAGUGAGUUCUGUCUUUCUACACGAGACCUCAAAAUUACGCUCACAGCGGCUACAUGCCAAUUGCCAGAAGUCAUGAAACGCCUGUUGCUGCUCCACAAGUUGACUCGAACUUCACCAGAAGUAUAUUUGAUAGCGGAGCAGGGCUCAGAAUUUGUGAACCAUUUAUCUCCCAUCCCAGAGAAGUUAGACAGAUUCCCAUUGAGGUCAAGGAUGGGCCCGGCCCCACUACAGAAUCAGAACGUUCCAGACAUGCUCCUAGAAUCGAGGAUGUCACUGAGACUGCAACAGAAAAUGUCCCAGAGACCAAGUGCUCCACAAGCAGUCUCUCUAGUCUCUAUCUUUAAAGACUGCCGAGCAAGAGAAAGCUUUACGCCAACAAGGAUCUGAAGUGGAACCAUCAGAACGGAAGGUUGGAAGCGAGAUGAAGUUGAAGAAGCAGAAGAACAACCUCUGGUUUGAAACAGUAGUCGACUUAUGUCCUCUCAAUCUAUUGAUUCUGCUGAUGACAUUGAAGAAGUACACCUAAACUUACACUCCAGUUUCUGCAAAGAAAAAAUAAAUAAAUAUUAGGGAAGAUUUAGUUAUUAAUGAUUGAGAUGUGAGCUGCAGUCUUCGGGUCAUGUGUAAAAAAUCCGAAACUAUAAAACGGAAGCGGUUGGUAAACUGAAAAGAAUAUAAGAUUUACAAAGGACUUCUCUAUUAAAUUUUUACACGAAAAGAAUAUAAUUUUACACGAGACCAGAAAUCUGCAGCUCACAGCCCAGCACUAGGUGGUUAUGUUCUUGAAUCUUACUACUUUUUAAAUUUACUACGGACUUCUUUAUUAAAAUUUUCAUUUUACUUACACGGGGCCCAACACUACAGCUGAUCACAGCCCAGAUGUAAUCGGUAUGUUCUACUUUUGUUUUCAAGUACAAAUUCUUCUACACGAGAUCCCAUGACUGCAACUCACAGCCCCGCACUAGGCAGCUAUGUUUUCGAAGAUGAAAUCCUUUUUUUUACAUGAGAUCCUGAAAUUACAGUUCACUGCUGCAAUGUGUUAGGAUCUAAGCACAUGUCAGGUAUGUUCAAGGAUCUUAUUAUCUUUUCCGUUUGCCAACCGACUAGCGUUUGAAAAUUUCUGUUAUUCUACACGUGACCCGAAUAAUGCAGUUCACAGCCCGACAUCAGACAUGCAUGUUCUCGAAUUUGCUUCUUUUUUACUGACUAACUUCCUCUACAAAAUCUCAUAUUAUUUUACACCAGACCCCAAAACUGCAGUUCACAGCCGUGCUAGUCAGCUAAACUUGUUGCUAAUCUGAUAACCGAAGCAGGAACAGAUCGAGUUCUUGCAUGUGAUCUUCAUUCUGGGAAAUCGAUGGGCCCUUUUGACAUUCCAGUUGAUCAUGUUCAUGGUCAGGUAAUGGGUAUUAUCUAUUUGAUAGUUGCUGUAAAUAUAGUCACUCCGGUUAAAUCUGCAUCGAUGUGAACUUGCUUAUUGAGUCAUCACAUCUAUGAUUAUAUUUAGUUUUUUUAUAUCCUUACUGUUUGUGAUGCGGAUAGACCCGAUCUCUUUAAUUAUCUCUUUAUUUGAAUUUAA